UUUGGUGUUCAGGCCCUUUCAUAUUAUUGGUGUUCUUCGUUUUGGUGACUCCUAGUUGUAAUUUGUUUACUUCCUUAUUUAGUGAUCACCUGUCUUAGAGAUGUUGCUGCUAAUCAAAGCUGAUGUUGGGAACCGUGGGCUAUGCUGCCAGUUGAGGAUAUCCAGUAUUCAGAUUCUGGCUAUAAGCCUCUCUCCUCCUAAGGAUUAGGCAUUGCCCUGCUUCUCCAAUUUUGGUGGUUUUUCUGUCUUAUGUGAAGCUUGGGGGUUUUGGCAGCCUAGGGAUUGAACCCAGAGCCUCACGCCUGCUGGGCAAGUGCUCCAUCACUGACUGUGCCCCAGCACUUCCCUGCUUACUCUGUGGGCUGGGUCAGACAUCAUUUUUGCCCUGCAGUUGGGAAUAGGGCACACUUAGCUAUUUUGAAUCAGCUUCCUCAUCCUGCAGUCCGCACCCCAGGUAACUUCCUCCUUUGUAUCGGUUUAUUUUGGGUUCCAACCCACUCUUCCUCUUUAGCAAUCUUUGCCUGUUUUGAAUUAUGAUUUUAUAUUGUUUUCUUGGUGUAUAGCUCUGAUCCUGCUGGCUAUUUUUCUGGCGUUCAUUCAAAUUUUUAUUCUAUUGCUAGCCCCUCUUUCAACAUGGAACAAAAACUUAUAAAUUUUCCUUAUUUUCUUUAAAAGAAUUAGAGUUGAAGCGCCUCCUGGGAUGAUCCUGUAGUUAUAGCACGUAAUGUACAAUUAGACAUUCACAGAAAGUAUUACUUUACAAGCAUUUGUUGAAACAUCAGUUCUCUGCUUCCUAGUAUAGAAGUUUUGUGACAGACUUAUCAGGGCUGAAAACUAAUUUCUAGGGGUCAUGAAAAAGUAGUGACAACCAAUAUUAUUUGCAUUAGAAAAAUAACAGAUUAGGAUCAACAGAGAUACCUUUAAAAAUGAGUCAGCUGUCUAGGAGAAAAAGCAGAUACAGCACUGCCUGUAGCUGCCUCAUUUUAGAAGUUCUCUUGAACCAAGAGUCCUGUGCCUACUUGUGCCUUUCCUGAAGGGGCAAAAAGUCUACAGAGUGAGUGGGAUUCCCCACUUGGAACCAAGUUGUUCCCUUUUACAUUAUGUUCAGGGUAUUGGGUCUCUGAAUUUCCUGUCUAUAAACAGCUCAGCUUUGGGGGCUUAUGGGAUUUCUUCCCCAGAUCCACAUCUACCACAUUCACACAAAUGAAGAGAGGCGAAGGGCUGCCUGUUUGCAGGGAUACGAACAAAAUUAGGCAUAGACCGGAGAACCCACCGGCGUCUCUGUGAGGCACCCCGAGCGUGGAGCUGGCGGUGGAAGAGGAAGGCAGUGGCUGCGGACUGACUCUGUGCUGGUCGCCAUCUUCUGGCACAGAAUUCUGAGGAGACUAAAGAAGGAGAAGGCUGAAUGGGUAGCUGAGAGGCCAUAAGGGAGCUCUGUGCAGUUGUAGGUUUAAUUCUUACAACUGCCUUGAGAAGUAACAGAAGAGGAAAUUGGCUUAGCGAGGUAAGGGAAUUUACCCAAAUAGUCAAGUUUCAACAUACAUUGUCUCCAAGGCCAAGGCUCUCAACUAGAAACCCCAGGACCACUCUCUUUUGGAAGGGUUAAUCUACCAACCAAACAUUAAGAUUUAGGUGAGUUGGUUUCCUCUCAGUUACAAAUCCAACUAAAGCACAGCAUCAUGUUGGAGAUGGUAUUAAUCCAAUUAUUCUCUUGCAACGCUGAUAUUAUAGCAUUCACUUUACAGCAAACAGGAUGGGGGCAGUCUUUGUGUCACACUGUACUCAUCUGACUCUCAGCACAAAAUGUCCUCAAUUGAUACAGAUACUACUUAAGUAGUUCUUGAGUUUCAAGAAGACUAAAGUCAUUUCUUUUAGCCUUGGCAGAUGAGGGGUUGCCCUGCAAAUUUAAUGAUCCUUCAUGUACUAACAAAUUCACGAUUUAUAUCAAAUAUUGAUAGGCCCGUAAGUAAGGGCUUAGUCAUUUUACCAACUUUUGUAUUCAGCUGGUGUUUCUGAUUAUCAGGUUUUGACGUGUCUGAAAAUCAUAUUUUGGAUACAGUAAGAGAGCAAGGAGCUGCCAGUCCAGGUGUGAAGUAGAUUAGAGAGUGAUCCUUGCAGGUUCACGUCAGUGCUUGCUCUGACUCUACAGCCACACAGUUCCCCGCGGAACCAGGUUUCUCUGUGAUCUGCUCACAGUAUGCGGGUGUUGUUUCUGGGGGACAACCCUAGCACAGGGGACCACAGAAAUUAGGAGUUUGUUCCCUAGCUUUUUGAGGAAUUGACUGGUUCUGCUACUAUGCUGCAGUCCAGUCUUUUAAAAAUAUACUGUUGAAGCAAGUUUGUUUUCUUACAGAUUCAAAAAGUAAUUCUAUCUCUUUUCUAAGGCUCUGGAUGGAAAUGUACGGAACUAAUGUAAGAACAACAGCUGGUACAGGCUGGAAAUUCAGAAUGGGUCAUUUUUUUUUUUACUUAUGCUGUUUACCAUAGAAUGUAAAGAGAGAAGACAUUUCUAGGAAGAGUAUCUGUGAUUAAUAGUAUUUUCUAGUGGGUUCACUGCUAUUCCUAAACAUGAGAG